ensembl:lncRNA
AUCUCAGCUGUUUGUGAUUUAAAGCAUAGCUUCGGAUCUGACCACCGCCGACAGGAAAAGACGUGCGUCACUGCUGGCAGCAGCCCAGCUGCCCUCAGACGGCACCGCACGGCACCGCGCGGUCCCUCCGCGGCUGCUCGCGGAUCCGCGGCCGUGCUGCCGCGCCGCCGGGGCCGGGCCGGGCCGGGCUGGGCCGGGGGGCGGAGCCGCAGCGCCGGGAGCGCGCCGGCGGCGGGUUGGGCCGCGUCACGCGGCCGCGAGGCUGCCAAGGCCGAGCGGAAACACUAUUCUCGCGGCGGCCGGAACCGGGCCACCAUAUUUGGCGUUUCCUCCGGGCCUUUUAAGGCGCUUCCGAGGCCCAAAAAAGGCUUUUCCUGCUCACGCCUUCUGGGGGCCGCACCGCGGAGCUUCCGGGGGCCGCCGGGCCGCCUCGGAACGGCCCCGCCCCGCCCCUGGGGCGCCGCGGCGGGCCUCUCGCUCGGGCCGGGCCCCGCCCCGCCCCGCCCGGCCCUGGCCGCGGGCUGCUCGUCUGGCGGCCGCGGGCCCGGGCAGCGUCCGCUCCACGCGGGCUUCUGUGGCGGGUCCGGGCCCCUCAGGUCGCACUGCGGACGCCCGCUCGCGGCGCGGCCCAAAGGAGCUGCGGCUGUGCGCUGCCGUCUGAAUGGCUGUGCUCCCUGCGACCUUUGGAGGGCAGGCCUCUGCCUUCCCUCGCUGCCGGCUGCUGCUACGGUUUCUUUAAUAGGGAGUGAGUCGCUCUGCCUGCACGCCUCAGAAAUAGAAAUAAAGGGAAGAAAAUCAGCUAUGGCAAUUUUAAAGAACCCAACUCCCUCCUGUGAUAUGCUGCGUGCCCUGUUGUGUCCUGGGAAUGCUACUAGAGAAUCCCUGUUGAUGAAAUAUGAUGGUUAAAGCUGUUUCUGUUGCAGCUGUGAGUUGCUCUUAACCAUGGGCCUUGGCUGACAGAACAGAUGAGACUUAGCAGGAAGAAUAGAGAGCUCGAAGAAGAGAUUUUGGAGUAAAGAGCUAUGUGAUCAUGGGCCGUUCUUUCUUCAGCUGCUUUCACUGGUUCAUGUCUGGAACACUGAGGAUCUGAGAAAGAUCUUAAGUAACCCCCAAGAAAAAUAACUUUUUAGACCCUAACCUGACAUCCAUGGACUGAAGUCAUCUGAGCUGCAGAAGGCACCCUUAGGAGAGCUGCCCACAAACACCCCUUCACCAUUGUUGAGUUUGACUAUAGACAGGUGAAGUGGUCCAAGGUUGGCUCAUGAAGAACUGUAACUGAGGGCUGUAAGGCUAUGUUGGUUGACUUUUGAUAUAAGUAUCUGUUUCUUUCAAAAGUUUUCUAUUUGUGGCCCAGUAGACCAGAAUUCUCAAAAGUUAUAUGUGUGUAGGUAAAAAAUACUUCUGAAGAGGGUUUAGAUAUGUGAUUCUUGAGCUAUACGUUGCAUGUUUUUUACAUGUGUAUGUUAUCUGCAUGUAGCCAUAGUGCUGGUUACACCUAGAGGGAAGGCUGCAUGUUUUAAAGUACUCUGAGGCUGUAGGAUGAUAAUAUAUGAGCUGUAGCAAAUGAACAAGAACUUUUUCAAUAGUUAAGUUGUUCAGCUAUAAUCAAAAUGCCUUUGUUUUUAAAAGCACAGGCUUGACUUACAGGCUAAUGAUUUAUGAUCUUGACUUGACUAAAGGAACUUACUCCUGUUAAAGAACAGAAGACAAUGUAUAUGCCUAGUAUCUAGUGUUCUUUGGGCUUUGAUUUUGUCCUUUGACACUGCCGUAAUGAAAAUGACAGAUGGUUAGGCAGUAUUAUUCUUAACAUUCACAUUUCAUUUCCUUAACUAUAAAAAGAAUUAAUAAAGCAUGUUUCUAUAACUUUUUUUUUUUUUAAAUUAAUAAAUAGGCUUAUAUUUAUGCUUUUUUUUUUUUUUGUAAUCUUUUCAUACUACUUUUUGUCUCUCCGAACACAAAUGAUGAUACACAAUGACACUAUGAGUAAAAAUGUCAGUGGCUAUAAGUUCUUCUAUCCAAUGUCCUCUGUAAGUUUGACCUGAGUUCUAUGACCUGAUUUAGCCAUGUAGCCUGGCUACUGUGAUUCCUCUGUAACAAGAAAACUACUCAUCACAAAUAGGCUUUCAGACAUCAGAGUCAGGGCAGGGAGACAAAGGUUUAAUUUGAUCUUGAAAAGGUUGAAAGCCUUUAGACUCCUGUAAAGAUGCAAUUACAACUCUUAAGCAGACUGAACAUUACUUGUUAUCUGACAAGGGCAAUUCUUCAAUCCAACAAAUUCCGUUAGGGAUGGUUAUAGAGAUUCUUCAAAACAUGUUACAUAAUUAAUAUCAAAAAUGUGUCUAUCCCAAUUGCUGUACUCCUUUGAUAAAACAGAUAUUGUUAGCUCUCAGGUAGCUUAUGUGCCCAGCUGUGUACUAAGUCACUGAGCUGUCUGGUGUGUUCAGAUGUGUGGCAUUCUAUGAGCUGAGUUUAUGAAGUGGAACUAUGCUUCCAGGUUUGGUGCCUGUAUAUGUAUAUAGGUACUUUGGUGUAUAUAGUAAUUGUAGUUAUGGCAGCCUCAGGGAACCCUCAAGAUACUGUUAAUAUACCUUACUAAAACCUAGGUGUUAGUGAAAGAAAUGUGAGUAAAUUCUGGAAUACAAAUGCUUUGCAGUGAAUGAGUGUAAUUCUAGCACUUCUAACAGUUCUGAGUGCAUUUGUCCUUGGAAUACCUGGAAGAACGUUGGAGCAUAAGAAAGUAAAGGGACAGGCUCAAUGAGUAAGUCUUGCUUAAAAAUUCCUAGAAUAAAAUGUCAGCAGUAGUUCUUAUAAUAGAUUGAGAGAGAUUUCUUACCUAAUUAGCUGGAGAACUGGACAUUAAAGUAUAUUUAUAUAUAUGUGGAAAUCUGACAAAUCUUAAGAAAAUGCACAGCACCAGCAUUUUGAUCUGAAGGUUCUAGUGAUUAAAGGUCAUUGCCAUGAUUCUUAAAUCCUUUUUGUGUAAAUAAGCCUGAGGAUUAUAAGGAACUCCAUGUGUAUUCAAAAGGCUAGAAAGCAGCAAUGAGGUAUUGAAUUUAAAGGCAAAAACUGUCUGCACAUCUGGCAUUUUGCCCUAAGGAGAAUGGCAUUUUGUGGACAAAAUCAGGCCAUCUGAGAAGUUGCAACUGUAGUUUUAAUAUGCCAGAGAUCAUGACAUAAAAUGAACACAUGCUGAUUUUUAUUUUGUAUUUUUAUUAUUUAUUUAUUAUGUUAAAAAAUGCAUCUGAAUUAAAAUACAGUAGUUAAGAAGUAUGCAAAUGUUGGUGCCAUUUAUUAAGAAGACUGUUGCACUUGAUCAAAAGAAUCCAGUCUCUGGUCCAUUGUAGGAUGUAGUCUUGGAGUACUCUUCCAGCAGUUGAGACCUGUGUGUAACACAUUUCAUGAACCCAUGUCUUUGCACAUCUACCUCUGUCCAUGUGAUUUGUGAAGCUAGACAAAAUUAUAACGUUCACAAUAUUUGGUGGGAAAGUGAAUUUUAGUGUAUCCAUGUGCUGCAUGAAGAGAGGUGUGUGUGUGUGUUUAAACUUGCUAUUUUGUAGCUGAAUUUGAUGGCUAUUGAGGCUUUUAUUGUAGAAGAUGGUGAAUAAUACCAUUUCCACGACAGCUACAGAACUGUCUCUUUCUCUUCUUUGCACUCCCUGUGGUUGAAGAAGCAGAAUCUGUUUUGUACAGCAGGUGGUUUGUACCUCAUAUCAUCCAUUAUUUUCUGUACCUUGUGUUAUUCUCUUUUAUUGUUUCUGAGGAGUAGAGGCCUGUACUGUCCAUCAUAUUCAAAAUGUUCCCUGGUCAGUGAGCUGACCAUUUAGUCUUACUUAUUGUUAAGAUCUUUUUGGGUGAUAACAGUUCUCUUGGAGACCAUCAUAUGAUGUAUAAUAUUAAAAAUUUGCACCCCUAACCCCUGACUUGUUUGUUUGUUGUAUUAUGUACACUGAAAAUCAUCUGCAGCUUCCUUGUCUGUUCCCACAACAUUGUUAUUUCUUGCAGGUACUCUAUGGGAGCAUUAUGAUUAUUAUUAUUAUACUGCCCAGAACAAAAGCAUUGUCAGAAAUCUGCCAUCUCAGUAUUCAUCUGGCUUUUUCAAAUACUCAUUAAAUAUUGUUUUUCAGGGCUGGACAGAGAUCUCUGUUCGUGAUUUUUGCCUAACUGAAAUUGAACAUUUAUUACUGUUCUUUCAGCUUUUUAGUAAGUUGCUUCUCUGGAGGAGAGCUGUUCCUGUUAUCUCAUGCCUUUGGCAAGGUCUGUACAGAACAGUUAAUGGAAAUCCAGAUAUAGUACAUCAGGUGAAUUUCACAUGUCCACAUGCCCAUUGAUUCUUCCAAAUAAUUCUAAAGCAUUUGACAGACAUAAAUUUGUCACACACAUACACGCUAAUUUUGACUUUCAGAAUUGCUUCUACUAGCAUACCUGGAAGUAGAAGUUGGACUGAUGCUUUCUGAAACAUGUAUAAAAAUUUGUCAUGUAUGUUAACUUGCAGUCCCCUAGUACUGAGGUAAAACAUCACAGCUAUUAUGCUUUUUCAAUUGCACAUUUGAGGGGUUAUCAUAUGGUCUAGUGAUUUAUUGUUACUCAUUCUUUUGACUUAAUCCCUUCUGUAAUUAUCCUACAGAAACUUUGGUAUAUGGGAGUUGUAUUACAGAAUAUUUUAAAGUUAAUUUUUUGGCACAGGAACUUUUCCAAGUUUGUCUGAAAUAAAAUGAGUACAAAAAUAACUUUUUUGGUGCCCUUCUUUUGUUUUAAACAUCAGCUGCUCUUACAAAUUUCUCUGACAGUCUCACAGUUCCUGAUAUGGCUGAGUGUCC